UACAGAGGUGGCAAGCGUGGUUCGGAAUUACUGGGCGUAAAGGGCGCGUAGGCGGUUCGAUAAGUCCCGUGUGAAAUCCCUCGGCUCAACUGAGGAACUGCACGGGAAACUGACGGGCUUGAGUUCGGGAGAGGGAAGCGGAAUUCCGGGUGUAGCGGUGAAAUGCGUAGAUAUCCGGAGGAACACCGGUGGCGAAGGCGGCUUCCUGGACCGACACUGACGCUGAGGCGCGAAAGCUAGGGGAGCAAACGGG
rnacentral:rRNA from 1 species